UCGGAACAGCCACGCUCUUCCAGACUUCUCGCAGCACGUCAUAUUUACUCUCUCAUCCUUGCUGCACUUCCUAGCCGACCUACCCACUGACUCGCCAUGCUUAUCUUCUCAUUCUUUGUCUUCACGCAGCCAACCGGACUGAUCCACAUCCCCCAGAGAGGGAGGACACACUGCCUCGCUCCGCUUUCCCUGAUAAUACGGGGUGUCAUCCAAGGAGGGAGGACAUGCUGCCUCGCUGCCCUUUCCCUGAUAAUAUGGGACGGAGGACACACUGCCUCGCACCAGCUGAACUGAACACGGCGUCAUCCAGGGAUGGAAGACAGACACGCUGCCUUGCUGCAUGUAACUUAACCUAACCAAUACAGGUUGCCAGUCACUCUAUUGUAAUGUUGUUAUUCCUUCCAUCUAAUGUGAAUUGUACACACACAAGUGUAAUGUUAUUAUUCCUUCAAUGAUGGACCCACACAACUGGUGUUAUACUUAAGAAUAAAUCAUGAUUAAUCAAUUCAUAUUGAUUUUGAUUUUUUUUUUUAAGGAAUAUUUACAAAAAGCCUAACCUGACCUCAUAAAAUGGCCUCGCCUCGUAAGUGUAUCUAACCCAACCCUACCAAGCAAGCCCCACAGUAUCAAAUUGUAUACUUUCACUUUUCAAAAAUCUUUC